rnacentral:lncRNA from 1 species
CCAGUACCCAGUAGUAGAGCUAGCUGAGACCCCAGUCAGUACCCAGUAGUAGAGCUAGCUGAGACCCCAGUCAGUACCCAGUAGUAGAGCUAGCUGAGACCCCAGCCAGUACCCAGUAGUAGAGCUAGCUGAGACCCAGCCAGCCAGUACCCAGUAGUAGAGCUAGCUGAGACCCCAGCCAGCCAGUACCCAGUAGUAGAGCUAGCUGAGACCCAGGCCACCAGUACCCAGUAGUAGAGCUAGCUGAGACCCAGCCAGCCAGUACCCAGUAGUAGAGCUAGCUGAGACCCCAGCCAGCCAGUACCCAGUAGUAGAGCUAGCUGAGACCCCAGCCAGUCAGUACCCAGUAGUAGAGCUAGCUGAGACCCCAGCCAGUACCCAGUAGUAGAGCUAGCUGAGACCCCAGCCAGCCAGUACCCAGUAGUAGAGCUAGCUGAGACCCCAGCCAGUCAGUACCCAGUAGUAGAGCUAGCUGAGACCCCAGCCAGUCAGUACCCAGUAGUAGAGCUAGCUGAGACCCCAG